UGGGGAAUAUUGCACAAUGGGGGAAACCCUGAUGCAGCGACGCCGCGUGAGCGAAGAAGUAUUUCGGUAUGUAAAGCUCUAUCAGCAGGGAAGAUAAUGACGGUACCUGACUAAGAAGCCCCGGCUAACUACGUGCCAGCAGCCGCGGUAAUACGUAGGGGGCAAGCGUUAUCCGGAUUUACUGGGUGUAAAGGGAGCGUAGACGGCAAGGCAAGUCUGAUGUGAAAACCCAGGGCUUAACCCUGGGACUGCAUUGGAAACUGUCUGGCUCGAGUGCCGGAGAGGUAAGCGGAAUUCCUAGUGUAGCGGUGAAAUGCGUAGAUAUUAGGAGGAACACCAGUGGCGAAGGCGGCUUACUGGACGGUAACUGACGUUGAGGCUCGAAAGCGUGGGGAGCAAACA
rnacentral:rRNA from 1 species